CCGUUGCGGUCGUCAUGCCGAUGAUCGUGCAACCUCAAUCAAACUUGAGGUCAACCGGGAAAGGGGCGCGCGAC
rnacentral:tRNA from 1 species